UGCUCUCCGCUCUCCUGCCGCAGCCCGUGGGACCGCACCCCCUUCCACGUCUGCGAAACCCCCGCGGUUAACCCCUCACCCCUCGUAGCAGAGUCGCCUCCCCAGACGUCUGGUGCGGUCUCCGGGUUGCCAGUGUAGAAACACCUUAUCUCCAUAUCCUCUAUCUCUCAAGCUCUUGGACCCUGAUUGGUGUCUCUACCUCCUAAGUCUUUCCCCGUUUUGGUGUUCCCUUCUACACUGUGGCCCCCUUGGGUAGGCCUUGCGUGGACUUUAUUGCGCGCCUGUCCGACUCAGUUCUUCCCUUCUAGCCUGUCUCUUUGGUAUAUUUGCUGUUCUCUCUCCCUACUCGUGUCAGCAUCGGCUGGACUUUUUGCUUUUCUUACUCCCUCCCCGCCCCCUUCCUACUUCGCUCGCCGCCCUCCUUCUCAAGUAUUUUUUUCCUGCUUCGUGUUCCUUGGUUUCUGUUUUCUCAUCCUAUUUGGGAAGGAGUUGAGGAAUUAUUGGAAAUAGUCGUGUACCUUAUUCCCAUAAUCUUUAUAGGUUUGGUUUUCAUUUGUAUUGGGAGUUGACUUAAGGAUCUUAAUAUGGGAGUGGUGCUAAACUAAUUGAAAGGGAAAAAUUUUGAAAGAAAAGGUACUUUAGAAUUUAAAUUAUGUUCAUGUAUUUGAAAGUUGCAGUCUUGCAGCAUUCCUAAAUCGCUCCCCCUCAAAAAUCUGAACAAAAAAAUCUUCAAGUCACUCUCCAAGGAGUUUCAAGGGUAAGAGUCUUUAGACGUGGACAAUUUUUGCAGUGUUUAGAGAGGGAGGAGAACUUUAUGGACUUGGACCCUCCCUUUUCCUCCCCCCCAACAUUUGAAUGUGAACAGUGGAUUUAUUAUUCAGUUCUUGCCUUGAAUUGGCGUGGAUAACUCCUAUUCUCCAGUAGCCACCCAUACAAAUUUUGACCAGAAGUAGAAUAGGAUUUAUUUUUUAGAUCUUAAAUAUUUUCUCUUGAUUUGUAAAUUGGCUGGGACAGUGUAAACUGAUAUUUAACAAAUGUAUAUCUUCUUACAUACGUAUGGUGUUUUAUGGCAGUUUUAUUGGGAAAAUUGCUCCUGCUUUCUUCACCCCAGAAUAGUUUUUCAGAAAGCAGCUGACUUGCAUUCUACUGAAUCCAGCUGCUUUACACCAAUUCUAAAAAUUAAAAUGUACCUCCCUCCCCGAAUAUUUAGAGAAGAUUCAUUUUGGUCAUUCAUUUUAUUAUUUGGAGGUGGGGGGAAUAGAGAGAAGAAACCUUUCCAAAUCCCUUUGAAACACUGACUUUUGUGUGUAUCUAAGGAAAUUUUUUGUAUUUAAAAUUCAUUCCUUCCAGGAAACGAUGGAGUUGUCUUUCUCAACCUGGGAAGCUGCAACUUUUGUAUGUGUGCUGUGUCCAUUUUAUUAAAUCAUAUGUAAUCUAAUACACUUUUUUUAAGAGAAAAUCAUUGGAAAUUUAAUCAAAGUACAUUAGUAGUUGAAUUCCCUCAAAAUGCUUGGAUGGAUCUCUUCUAGUAUCUUGAUUCUAAUUAAAGCUCUUCAUUUGAAGAUAUAUUAUUAGUAUCAGUCUUCAGCUGGAGUUGGGAAAGAAUACUUCUCUAAGAUCAGAUAGAGAUGAGGACAUAAAGUAUCAACAUAGGUGAAUUUGCGAAGAAUGGUUGUCAUGAAUAAGGAGAUCAUGCGCUGCUAGUAAGUGUGGGAGUGGUGGCUUUUAUGUAGGAAGGUUGAACUGAAGUUGAAAAUGUCCACAGACAUGUGGGAAAGGAAGUUCAUCUAAAAAUCUGUUUUAAAAAAAUUGGCAAAUGGUAUAGAUGGUUCAGUAAAAAUCAAUACCCUACAAAAUAAUGUCUUUGAAUUUGAAUUAUUUUUAUCCAAGGACACUCAACCAUUUAGAUGUAGAAGUUGAUAAGGUGACUAGAAGGAAUUAUAUAAUAUAUACCAAGUGAAAGUAAAUAAAGGGAAGGGUUGGGUUCUUUAAAGAAUGACGUGUAUGAUCUUUUCUUUCUAUUUUAACUGCUGAGUGAUAUAUUUUGUGUUCUGUUCCAAUUAAAAAUUUGUGAUAGAGUUAAGUUUUGGCUGGAUGAAGUGUUUCAGUAAUGUGUGGUAUUGUUUUCAGAUGUAACUUAAUGAUUUUUUUAUUAUUUUAAGUCUCAUAUUGAAAACUAUAUAAAUUCAUGUCUGAAUUAGCAUUAGAGUUAGUCAUAUUUGACAGCCAAAGAGUUAAUCAUCUUUUCACAUAAAGAACUCUUAGGAUUAAUAAAUUGACAAUGAAAACUUUAUGGGGGGGGGGCUUAAAAGAACAUAAAUAGCUUGCCACUGUACCUUGAUGAGACAGUAAUGUGUUAUAAAUAUGUCAGCUCAUCUCAUUUUAAGCUGUGAAUUUAUCACAAUUUGAGUCAGACUCUCUGACUAAAUAUGAAGGAAACUGAUAGGAGACUGAUUAAAUAAGAAGUUCAUCUAUAAGAAUUAAUUACAUGAGACUUAAUAGGCCAUGGAGGUCUUGAAGAUGCACAGUGUUUAGAAGAGAUGUGCGUUAUAAGACAGUUACAUAUUAGGAAACUACAUGUUUUGAGAUAGUAUAGCAUUGGCGCAAGAGAAAUUGAUGUAUAGAACAUAGUAGACAGUCUAGAUAGAAACCAAAGCAUUUUUAACAAUUUAAUAUAUGAUAAAGUUAUGAGACAGUGCUAUCCUUUAAAUAAAUGGGGGAAACAUCUAAAAAUACCUUGGGCAACUGGCUAUGGGGUAAAAGUUAGACCUCUACUUUUGGUAUGUGGUCAUACCAAAAUGAAUUCCAGGUGAAUUAGAGAUUUAAAUAAGGCAAAUGAUAUUAUAAAAGUAUUGGAAUAAAUUAUUGGGUCAAUAUCUUGCAGUGGGAAAUGACAAAUUUCUUCUUUAAAGAAAUUUUUAUGGUAGUUUACAAAUUUUUAAAAUGCUAAACAUUAUAAAAAUAAGUAAUAUAGUAAAGGUGAAGUCUUCUGUUACUCAUCUUACCAACACUGGAAUGCCAUCUUGGCACGGAGAUUUUUCUAAGCAUGAAACCAAAAUCCAGAAGGAAAAAAGAAAUCCAUACUUUUGAGUACAUAAAAAAUGGGGGGAAAUUGUAAGCACAUUUUAAAAACUGUGCAAAUGACAACAUUUGACAGAUAAGGUGUGAAUUUCCUAGUACAGAAAGAUCUAAUUAAUGAGUACAUAAAGGAAAACCAACUCAUAUCUGGAAGACCUGAACAGCCAGCGCAUAGAAGAGGAAGAUAUGAAUAACCAAUAAACAUGAAAAGAUGUUCACCUGAGCAAAUUAAAAAUUCAAUAUCAAGCCAAGGCAAUCAUGAAGAAGAAAAUCUGAAGGACUUAUACCACCAAAUAUCAAGCUAUGAGAAUUAAGAUAAUAUGGUAUUGGCACAUGGACAGAUGAAUAGGUCAGUGGAACAAAACGGACAAUCCAAAACCAGACUGGUGUAUAAUACUGUCACUUGUUUUAUGAUAAAAGUGACACAGUGGUACAGUAGGGAAAAAAAUGAAAUAAAUGGUGUCAGUCAAUUAGGUAUCCAUAUAGGAGAAAAAGUAUCAUGACAUUAUCUUACACUGUAUACAGUAAUCAUUUUGAGAUGAGUUGCUGAUCUAAAUGUGAAAAAGUUUUUUAGGAAAAAAGUUUUCACUCUCAGCAAAAGAUUUAUUAAAUAGGAUACAAAAUGGGCUAAAUAUCAUAAUUUGAUAAAUUGACCAUACUAUGAUCGAGAAUAUCUUUUCAUCAAAAGAUACCAUUAAAAGAGUGAAAAGCCAAGCAGCAGAGUGGUAGGAGAUACUUGAAGGGCGUAUAUCUGGCAAAGGACUCAUCCUGCAUCUAAAGAACUAUAAGAAAAUGAAAAAUACCUCCCCCCUUUUUUUAAAUGGGAAAAGAACUUGAAUAGGCAUCCAAAAAGAGGAUAUUCAAAAGACCAAUCAAACUUUCGGAAAGGGGUUCAACCUUAUUUUGUGUUUAGGGAAAUUGUUGUCCUACUGUACAUUCCUAAGAAUGUCUAAAUGAAAAAGGAAAAAGUGUUGAUAAAAAUAUAUUGCAGUCAAAACUCAUACACUGUUAGUGGGAAUGUAAAUUGAUAAACCAUUUUGGAUUAUCUACUUAAACUGAAUAUAUACAUACCCUAUAACCCAGUAGCAUUAUCUGCUAAAACUGAAUAUACACAUACCCUAUAACCUAGUAAUUCCAUUUCAAGAUAUAUACAUUUAAGAAUGUUCAUAGCAACACUAUUUAUAAUAACCAAAAAAUGGAAACUGUCCAAAUGCCUAUCAAGAGGAGAAUUAAAUAUUUUCUGGAAUAGUCAUAUAGUGGAAUAUUAUGCAGUGAAAAUGAAUGAAUGUACCUGUUUGAAAUAAUAUGGUUGAAUUUCACAAAUGUCACAGGAUUAUAAUCCAGAGGCCCCCAAACUUUCUCCCUUCACAGCACUUGAUUCAUGACACCCCUAGGACAAAAAGAAGCACCUAACAGUUUUGUUUAUUAAGUAGUUAGAUACAAACAACUUAAUAAUACUUAUGUCCUAACAGCUUAAGAGACAUUUAAAAAUAAUGCACAAAAAAUGAAAGAAAAAACGUAUUUUUCCUUCAUUCUUAAAUAGCCACAAUUACUCAGUUAUUUACUAGUGGGAUAUGUAUAUUUAUUGGGUACAGUAUAACUUCUCAAAUCUGGCAAUCAUAUUGGACACCUUCAUUUUCUGUUCUCUGUUGAUUUUGUACAUUACUUUUUAUAGCAACGACUGCAAGUGCAGCUUCACAAAGAUAAAACAUUAACGAAAGGAAUAUAGCAAUCUAGUAGUUGGUAUGGUAUAAUACAGGUAUUAAAUAUUGUUUCUCAAAUUUAAAAUAUCUUGCAGUGCCCCAGGGCACCUUGAUGCAGUUUCCACAAAAACAAGCAAAAUUAAUAAAAAGUGUUGGAAGUCAGGAGAGGUUACCCUUGGAGGUUAGUGACUAUGUAGGGAUACGAAGGGAAAAGUCUGAGAUUCUGAUAAUAUUUGGAUGUUGCUUACCUCUGUGUUCUCUUUUGAAAUUUUUUUUGAGCUUUACAUUUUAAAUAUGAGUUGUGUGCUCUGUAUGUAUGUUAUACUUCAAUAAAAAGGUUUAAAAAAUAACAUUCUUAUUAGAUUGUCAGUGUUUAAGGAUUCAAAACACUUACACCCUUUAAUCCACAAUAUCAUUUAAAGUCUUUUUUUCCUUACAGGAAUUCUUGUUGAGUGUGCCGAAUAUUCUAUUCAGGAAUGUGCAGUACAGUGUUGUUUAUGAUGCCCAAAAUUGGAAACAACUAUAUGCUAAUAAAUUAGGAGUAGAAUAGUAUACUCUAGUUAUAUAGAAUGUAUAUACUAUGUACACUGGGAUAGAAAUGCCAGAGCACAUCAGGUGGAGAGAAUGAAAAGCUUGUUACAAAGUAGUAUGAAUAGCAUACUCCUGUUUAUUGAUUAUUUUUAAGUGGGAGAGUAUGUGCUACAUUUGUGUAUGCAUUAAAAAAAGAAUGUAGAGGAACACAAAAUUUUAAUGGUGUUUACUCAAGGGGUAGGAUCGCCAUCAUUUUUUACUUUGUUUAUAUUCUCUUUAAUUUUUGGAUUUUUAUGACCAUAUAUUAUUUUGAUAUAUUAAAAAAAUAUACUUGAAUUGUUAAUAUCUGGGAAACAAAGUUGUAGUAAGAGUGGAAUAACCUAAAAACCGAUAUUCUAAAGUAUUUUCAAUAUGAAUGAGAAAUAACUCAGUAAGUGGUUUUUAAAAAGAAAAUAAAAUAAUUCAGCUAAUUAGUUAAUUCACUAGCUAACCAAAUCAAGAAACAGAAAGCUCAUUCUCAAGAAUAAGAAUAAGAAAGAAAAAUCCACCAUAGAUACAAUAGUAAGGGAAAAAAUAGCCCUUUAAAUUGUAGAAUAGCUUCUUUAAAUGUAGAAUAGCUUGUAUUAUUCCAUGCUAAUCCAUCUGAAAGCAUUACUUAAGUUAUGUUUUUAGGAAAAUACAAAUGACCAAAGAGAUAAGUUAAUAGACAAAAAAAAAAACAUGAAAGAAAUUGAGAAAUUAUACUUCUCCCUUUGUCCAUCUGCCUCCACCUUCAGUGUACAAACAAAAAC